rnacentral:piRNA from 1 species
UGACAAAGAAGGAAACGUUACCUCUUUUG